AGAAUGAAGAUGGCUUCCUGUCCCGCUAGCGUCACGUCGGGAUCUGCCUUCACCAAGGCCUUCACUCGCGCCAGAGGCAACCUCGAGAGACGAGCCCCAGGCACACUCGUUGGGGCCUGGGGCUGCGAGGCCGCUGCCUCCCCAGCAGGUUUAUUAUAUAGGUAAAUUGCAUGUCAUGGGGAUUUGGUGUACAGAUUAUUUCAUCACCCAGGUCCCAGGCCUAAGGACAGCCAUACUGUGGGACAUUCUCUUCUCAUGGCAGAGAGCAGAAGCUCAAGAGGGACGAACCAAAAUAUGCCUUGUCUCAUAACCUUGUGCUUAGAACUGGCACUUUGUCGCUUCCACCCAUGUUCCACAGAUCAAAGCAACAAUUAAGGCCAAGCCCCACGUCAGUGGAGCAGGGGUGCACGUGUCCCUUCAGGGAGAAUGGGCAAGUCAUACCAUGGGCAGGGCUGUGUCACCCUAUUACAGGGGGAACUAGGAGUUGGGAACAACAGUUCUUUCUACCACAGAUUUAGAGUGUACUCUUUUGAGGAACUUGAUGGUAAAAGUAAACAGAGCAGUAACUAAAGGAAGAUAAGAAGCCAACUAUGGCUUCCAUUUUGUUUUAUUUUUCAAGUAGGAGACAUUUGAGUAAGUUUAUAUAUUACUGGGGAAGGAGACAGAAAGUAGGAGCAAUAAAAAUACGGAAAUGAAAAGAAAGAAGUGAUGAACAUCACUUCGACAAUUCUUCACUUUCAAAACCCAAACUGUAUCACCCGGGGUCCAAUUAAGACACAGAAACCACACUAUAAUUUGGUUGGGGAAAGUUUAAUAUUAAAAUAAUUGGCUGCUAAGCAGUAACAAAAGAGAAUUGGCUGCUAAUGGGGUAACAAGAAGUCUAAAGAAUAGAGGACUGACAUGUACAGAAAGCAGCCACUAUCCCCAGAGCUGAGGCAGAGCACACAAGGAUGGAAUGACUAUGGAAAAGCAGCCCCCACUACCUGAGCUGAGAUCCAGACCUUGAUGGGAAGUACACAGCCAUGACUUACUGGGUGGUGCAGUCACGGAGGGGCCUCCUGGCAGGACUCACUGACAAUUCACCUUCUGGGGUCCUGAGAGAAGAUGCCUAUGGAAACACAUGCUGCUGGUCACUGGUCACUGUGCACUACAAAAGUCUGCCUAGAAAAAAAAAAAAACAUUAAACUAGGAAAUACUGUUCAUCCUCCAGUGUCCCCUACUGAUGAAGCAUAUAACAUCAUACUAGCUAAGCAAGGGGAAAGGUUCCAAUAUCACAAGCAAGCAAUGAAGGUGGGUUUGGAGCUGAGAGGCAAGAGGUGAUAACCAGCACCCCAACCCUGGUGAAAUCAAAUUCUAUGCCUAUUCCACACCGGCCCCUAUGCAGCUAUAUGCGGCUAGAGAAAGCAACAACAAUAUCAACAACAACAACCCAACUGAUUGGUCCAACUGGUCUUGUCAUUAGGUCUCAAAUGGUCAUUAGUGUGGCCAGAAAUCCUAUCACAUUUUCAUGCUGCUCACUAAUCUGCUCACCUGGAUGAUUAUUUGACACCUUCUCCUCACUCCUCAAACAUACAACACCUUUUCCCCAACCCACUCACUCUCUCCAUGGUGAACUUGGUUCCUAUUUCACAAAGAAAAUAGAAGCAUUGGGAACUUUUGCAAGCUCGCACCACCACACCUGCACACCUACCAGUAUCUGCACCCACAUCCUUUGCCUUCCCACCAGCUAAGUGACUGAGAUGUCAGGGCUCCUCUCUAAGGACAUCCUCUCUACUUCUCCAUCGGACUCCCAUCGCGUCUUGCCUACUCAAGAAAAUCACUCUGCUUCUCUCUCUUUCUCUCUCUCUCUCUCUCCUUUCCCUACAUCAUCAAUUUCUCCCCUCCACUUGACCAUUUCUAACAGAAUACAUGAAUGCAUCUAAAAAAUACACACACUCUUUACCCCACACCCCUCCAACUUCUGCCUCACUUCUUUUCUCUUAUUUAGAGAAAAAGUCCUUUUUAUUAACUUGUCUAUAUUCAUUGUCUCCAAUUUUUCUCUUCUAACUCCGCUUGCACUUACUCCAGUGAGGUAUUUAUCACCACCAGGCCACUGAGACAAUAUUUUCAAGAUCACCAGUAACCAGGGCCACCCCUAGUACACAAAGCCCUAAAAAAAAAAUUUUAUAAGACCCUUGCCUAUCUAAACAAUUUAAUUUAAAAAGGUAUUUCAAAAUGUAUGGGCCUAUGUGAGGUGCUGACAUUUGUCAAUGAAGAUUUAGAAUAAUCCAUAGAGAAGAGGUACUUACAAAUGUGUUUAUUAUUCUAUCACUGCACAUGAAGAUUCUUCAUAGAGUCCAGACACCAGCUAUUCCUGUUCAGAUCCAGGAAAUAUCUGCCCAUGCUCUUUUGGUUAAUGUUUUAUUUCCUAUUGUGAGAAAGAGGCAGCAACAUUGUUGUCACUCACAAUGUCAUGGCUUUUGGAACCUGUUUGUAUUGAAACAAUAUAGUUUUGGGUUUUGGUUUUGUUUUUUCGCCUCUGCGGUUCUCUGAUACCAUUUGUCUAAUGUUGGUUGCAUCUUUACUGAUGGUGCUGCAUCAUUCAUCGUGGUACCUGCAAAUACUGGCAUCCAACCACUCUCUCAGAGGUUGUUUCUGUACUUCAUUAAUAAUGACCAAAAUGCAAGCCUUACCCAGAAUAUUCAGGAAAGUAUGAAUGAUAAUUUAUUUUUCAUUUGGAGUUUUAUAGUGUAACCAUAAAGUGACACAUCUUCCAACCAUGUAUUCUCUUGAAUUCUUCAGGCCAUUAUAACUACAUUCUUAGAAUGUGAUCCCUUUCAACAUUUCCUGCACCUCUGCUUCUGCACACUACCACCAAAAGACAAGAAAGGCAAGGAGACAUGACUGGAGCAAGAAAAACAGUGUUUUUCACACAAGGAUGUCCAUUCCUUGUUGGGAAUGGCUUAAGAUCGACCUGGGAAAGCAAAACAUCGCCAUAUCGUUUGGAGGCAAGGCACUGGUUGGAAGAGCCUGUUGGUGUGGCAAAGCCAAGGUCUUUAAAGUCCUCAGAGAAGGCAGGCACAGCCACCACUGGAGGACUUCCUGAUGUAUGGUACAGAGACUGAUGAGGGCAUGGGGUGACAACCUUAGGUGCCAACAGCAAGGGGAUGGAUAUACAGGGUAAAGGAGGCUUGCUGCCAUCCUAUGCCUUUGAACGCCACAAAUCAGAGAUGGUACCAUGGAGGAACAUGAACAGGUGAGAGCUGAGGCAUGGGUGCCCACACACAGCCCAAGCCCAGGUGCUAACAGUUGACCAUCAGUAGCCCAGUGCCCCGAAUUCAUCCUGCGCCUGAUGUGAGGAUCACCCAAAAGCAGUGCAUCGGCACCAUUCUGGUGACUCAAUAUCACACAAUGGCACCAGCCAGCAGGAACAAUCCAAUUGCCAGGCUGCCCUCCUGGACAGAGCCCAAGCCACAGAGCCCUCAGAUAACUCCAUUGAUGCAAAUCUCAGAGUUCCUCAAGGAAACAGGUCAACCCUGCACAUGGAGUGGAGAUUCAGAAAGGCCCCAAAAAGGAAAAAAACAAGGAUCAGUGUCCAUGUAUGCCCCUGUAUGGGGCUGCCGUUUGUCCUAACCACCCUGGGGUCUGCCAUAGCUGAGCCAGCCCUACUGGAAGAGGAUAGUCAAAUAACCUCACUCGUAUUCUUUUGCCACUUACUGUGUUGCCCUAGCUUCCCUCCAGGGGAUCCUCGUUUUGUCCUAGGCUCAACCUUACCUUUGAUCACUUUAGGACUCAGGCACAAGAUUUCACAUUGCUGGGAAUCCAUUUUCAGUCUUUGAAAAGACACAGCGAUUCUUCAGGAAGUUUGUUAUCCCAAAGAUGCAACAGAGACAGAAUUUCCCAGCUUGAAGGGAUUUGAAACAUCCAUAAAGUUAUAGAAAUUCAUAUCUGGAGGAGUCUUAACGGUCAUUCAGACCAACGCUUUCUCGGGUAUCUAUAACAUCCAAUGCCCUAGUUUCCCUGCUAUCUUUUUUGGCCACUUUUCAAUCUCCUUUGCAGGCUACCCUUUACGGGCUCAGUCUCCACACUCUUUUGUUCUUUCUAGAUUUUCCCCUGGUGACCUCACCGAGGCCUAUGGCUUUAAAUACCAUCCAUAUGCUGAUAAUUCCCAAAUUUAUAUUUCCAGUCCCAAGCUCUCCACUGAGUUUCAGGCUCAUAUAUCCAAAUGUCUACUUCUUGCCUUCAGUAUAUCUUACAAACCUCUCAAGUUUGACGUGCCUAGAACAGGACUCUGGAUUUUACCUUUUGCCCGUAUCAACAAGUUCCUCUUAGUCUUCCAAUCACAGAAAGGGCUCCACCAUCAAGAUGGACACGAGCCUAAAACCCAAGAAUUCUUGUUUCCCUGCCUUCCUUUCCUUCUCUCACAUUCAGUCUCCUGGUAGACUUGUUCAUUUACUUCCACCAUUUCUAUCUACUUCUCUUCAUCUCCAGUGCCAACAUUCUUGUCCAAGCCAUCACUGUCUCUCCCCGAACCACUCCAAUAGCAUCCUAACUGGUUUUCCCCACUCUUAUCUCAUCUCAAUCCAUUCUCUGCAUAUUAGCUGAAGUGAUCCUUUCAAGAAGUGAAUACAAACCUUAAAUCUUUCAACAGCCCUCACUGCAUCCAGAAUAAAAUCCAAGCACCUAUAACUGCCUAAUAUGGCUUCUGUCCACAUCUAACCUCAAAUCUUAACUUCUGCCCUUGCUGUGCUCAAGCCUUUCUGGCCUUUCAUUUCCUUAAACACACCAAGCCUUUCCAGCAUCAGAGACUUUACAAUUCUUCCUGGAAUGCUCUUCCACUAAUUUCUUUAGGUCAUAGUUUGUGGUCAUUUGAAAACAUGUCCACAAACUCUUUUCUAUCCUACAAAAAUGGGGAAUCCAAUUCCCCUCCUCUUGAACAUGGACUAGCCUCAGUGGCUUGCUACUAAUGAAUUAAAUGGUAUAGAAGUGACUGUGUAACUUCUUAGACUAGGUAACCAAAGAUGGCACAGCCUCCACCUGGUUCUCUGUCUUGUGAGGCUCACCCUUGGAACCCAGCCAUCAUGCUGUGACAAAGCCAUGUACCACAUGCAGGUGUUUCAGGGAACAGACCUGUCAGAGGUCCUUGCCAACAGCCAACAUCAGUCAGCAUCAACCACUAGACAUGUAAGUGAGGAAGCCUCCAGAUGAUUCCAUUUCCCACCUUCAGCUGAUGUUAGGUGGAGCAGAGACAUGCUGUCCCCACCUGCCUAAACUGCAGAUUCAUGAGUAAUGUAAUUUCUGUCAUUGUUUUAAGCCAUUAAGUUUUGGGGCAGUUUGUCACGUAGCAAUAGACAACUGGAACACAGCUCGUAUGCCCCUUCUCAGAACUGCCCUCCCUGAUCAUCCUGUCUAAGUGCCCAUUGGCAUUAUCCAUAACCUGAAAAUUAUUAUGAUUGAUCCUAAUGUCCAGCCUGGUGCCUGGCACAUAGGAGAUGCUCAGUGAAUAUUUGUGGAAUGAUUGAAUAAGGAAAUGAAUCCUCUUGUCACAUUUGAAGUUAUCAGUCAUCAAUAAAAUGAGGAUUUGUUUCAUCGUU